rnacentral:rRNA from 1 species
UCUGGCGGCCUUAGCGCGGUGGUCCCACCUGACCCCAUGCCGAACUCAGAAGUGAAACGCCGUAGCGCCGAUGGUAGUGUGGGGUCUCCCCAUGCGAGAGUAGGGAACUGCCAGGG